rnacentral:rRNA from 1 species
GAGUUUGAUCAUGGCUCAGGAUGAACGCUAGCGGCAGGCUUAAUACAUGCAAGUCGAGGGGCAGCAGCUUUAUAGCAAUGUAGAGGCUGGCGACCGGCAAACGGGUGCGGAACACGUACACAACCUUCCUUGAAUAGGGGGAUAGCCCAUAGAAAUGUGGAUUAAUACCCCGUAAUAUAGCGGUGUGGCAUCACACUGUUAUUAUAGUUUCGGCGAUUCGAGAUGGGUGUGCGGCUGAUUAGGUAGUUGGCGGGGUAAAGGCCCMCCAAGCCUUCGAUCAGUAGCUGAUGUGAGAGCAUGAUCAGCCACACGGGCACUGAGACACGGGCCCGACUCCUACGGGAGGCAGCAGUAAGGAAUAUUGGUCAAUGGACGCAAGUCUGAACCAGCCAUGCCGCGUGAAGGAUGAAGGUCCUCUGGAUUGUAAACUUCUUUUAUAGGGGGCGAAAAAAGGUCUUUCUAGAUCACUUGACAGUACCCUAUGAAUAAGCACCGGCUAACUCCGUGCCAGCAGCCGCGGUAAUACGGAGGGUGCAAGCGUUAUCCGGAUUCACUGGGUUUAAAGGGUGCGUAGGCGGGUAGGUAAGCCAGAGGUGAAAUCCUGGAGCUUAACUCCAGAACUGCCUUUGAUACUAUCUAUCUUGAAUAUGGUGGAGGUAAGCGGAAUAUGUCAUGUAGCGGUGAAAUGCMWUAGAUAUGACAUAGAAACACYUAUUGCGAAGGCAGCUUACUACGCYUAUAUUGACGCUGAGGCACGAAAGCGYGGGGAUCAAACAGGAUUARAUACCCUGGUAGUCCACGCCCUAAACGAKGAUUACUCGACGUAUGCSAUACACAGUAUGCGUUCUGACCGA